CCUACGGGAGGCAGCAGUGAGGAAUAUUGGUCAAUGGACGGAAGUCUGAACCAGCCAUGCCGCGUGCAGGAAGACGGCUCUAUGAGUUGUAAACUGCUUUUGUACAAGGGUAAACCUGAAUACGUGUAUUCAGCUGAAAGUACUGUACGAAUAAGGAUCGGCUAACUCCGUGCCAGCAGCCGCGGUAAUACGGAGGAUCCAAGCGUUAUCCGGAUUUAUUGGGUUUAAAGGGUGCGUAGGCGGAUUGAUAAGUUAGAGGUUAAAUGUCCGAGCUUAACUCGGGAACUGCCGCUAAUACUGUUGAUCUAGAGAGUAGAUGCGGUAGGCGGAAUGUAUGGUGUAGCGGUGAAAUGCUUAGAGAUCAUACAGAACACCGAUUGCGAAGGCAGCUUACCAAUCUAUAUCUGACGUUGAGGCACGAAAGCGUGGGGAGCAAACAGGAUUAGAUACCCCAGUAGUC
rnacentral:rRNA from 1 species